CACGUAGGGCGCAAGCGUUGUCCGGAAUUAUUGGGCGUAAAGAGCUCGUAGGCGGUCUGUUGCGUCCGCUGUGAAAACUCGGGCUUAACCCGAGCCUGCAGUGGAUACGGCAGACUAGAGGUAGGUAGGGAGAAUGGAAUUCCGGUGUAGCGGUGAAAUGCGCAGAUAUCGGGAGGAACACCGGUGGCGAAGGCGGUUUCUC
rnacentral:rRNA from 1 species